rnacentral:rRNA from 1 species
AUUGAACGCUGGCGGCAGGCCUAACACAUGCAAGUCGAACGAGUGGCGGACGGGUGAGUAAUGUCUGGGAAACUGCCCGAUGGAGGGGGAUAACUACUGGAAACGGUAGCUAAUACCGCAUACCAUCGGAUGUGCCCAGAUGGGAUUAGCUUGUAGGUGAGGUAACGGCUCACCUAGGCGACGAUCCCUAGCUGGUCUGAGAGGAUGACCAGCCACACUGGAACUGAGACACGGUCCAGACUCCUACGGGAGGCAGCAGUGGGGAAUAUUGCACAAUGGGCGCAAGCCUGAUGCAGCCAUGCCGCGUGUAUGAAGAAGGCCUUCGGGUUGUAAAGUACUUUCAGCGGGGAGGCGUUACCCGCAGAAGAAGCACCGGCUAACUCCGUGCCAGCAGCCGCGGUAAUUC